rnacentral:rRNA from 1 species
UACGUAGGGUCCGAGCGUUGUCCGGAAUUAUUGGGCGUAAAGGGCUCGUAGGCGGUUUGUCGCGUCGGGAGUGAAAACUUACAGCUUAACUGUGAGCGUGCUUCCGAUACGGGCAGACUUGAGGUAUUCAGGGGAGAACGGAAUUCCUGGUGUAGCGGUGAAAUGCGCAGAUAUCAGGAGGAACACCGGUGGCGAAGGCGGUUCUCUGGGAAUAUCCUGACGCUGAGGAGCGAAAGUGUGGGGAGCGAACAGG